GAAUUUAUUGGACAGAUUUACAAUGUUUUUGUUUGUGUUUGUGGUGGUGUUGUUUGUGCUGGUGUGGCCCCCCCGACAGGUCGGGUUUUUGGGGACGCCAAGUUUAAAUGCUGAAGCCAAUGCUUCAGCAUAUUCCUGGCAGUGGUAUCGGUCCAAUGUAUAUUGUCCCUACCGGUUGCGAACUGGUCGCUGGUGAGUGCUGGGAUGAAAUGGUAGUUUUUAUGAAUAUAACUAUUAAUUUGCCGGAGGUUGUCCUUAUGUUCCUCGGGCAAAUUGUCGGAAAAAUUGAGGAGGGGGAUGAAGAUUUCGGCAUUGGGGAAUGUGAUUUUGGCCGUUUUGAGGGCCUUUUGGAGCUGCUUGAAGGUGGUAGAUUUGGGAUUUUGUUCUUUAUUGUUGAGGCCGAAAGAUAAGACCACCAUUUCAACCUCAGUACUAACUUUGGUUUUUUGCAGGAUGGCCUCUGCGUGGCGGAAGUUGGCCCCCGGGUAGCUGUCCAUCUGGAGGUCCUGGAGACCAGUGGACGGAAGGAGACUGAUAUUGGAGUCCCCGAUCACCAGGACCUUCCUAUGAACAGACAGAAAAGAACGAGGACCAGCUAGCCCGCGCCUCCGGAGCGGAAGUGUCCGGAACGGGCGUGACUGGAGGAGGAGUGUCUACAAGAGGCACGUCCGGCAGAGGUGCGUCCGGGAGGGGCGCGUCCAGGAGUGAGGAAGUCGGCGUAGGUGGUCUCGGUUGGUCAGAACCAAGUUGGGACCAACUUGGAGGCGUGUCCAGGGGCAGCUGGGACCACCCUGGGUGCACUACCGGGGGUGACGCCGGCUGCUCAGGUAGCGGUGGCGCCUCGGAAAGCGCAGGGGGGACCCCGACCUCGGUCUCGACACGCCCAGGCGGCCCGGGUGGCGGGACCAGGGGAGCCUGAGCAAUGGAGUAGUCAGGAGGACUACUACUGGGCUCCAGGGGGCGUGUCGCUCUCUGGGGCCUGGAUGGCGCCGCAGCCAGAGAGGAAGGUGACAACGCCGGGAAGGGGACCGGGGUGACCUGUCCCCGAGGACCCGGAACCUGUUCCACCACCGGGGACCAAUCUCCGCCCAUAGGGUCGGUCAUGGUGGAGACCGUGGCGCGUGCAGGAGCGUGCUGGGUUGGAACCGGCAGGGUCCGCGAGGGUUGCACCGGGGGGUGCACUGCAUCCACCACCAUUCGGGUGCUGGACGGGUCCAAGCGGACUGGUGACCCCGUCUGCUGCGAUCGUGCGGGACUACCCCCCUCGUCCCCGGCACGAGCGUCGACACAGAUCGAGAUCACCAGACCCUCGGCGAGCCGAAGUGUCUCGGCAGUCAAUCUGCGUCCCAGGUGUGUCUUGGCCCACGCCGAGGCCACCUGGAACGGGUCCUGCCAGUUUUGUCCAAUAAAGACACUCAAUUUACCAA